GCUCCUUGAGGUUUUCACCUGCUAACAGUCAACAGGUGAGUCUUGUUAGAUGUUAACUGGUGGGAUUUUGCAGUCAUGUUGCUGCACAGCAACAGGCUCUGUUAAACUACUGCAGAAAUCCAUUAUAUGACAAGAACUACUCAGCAAAGUAAAGACAAAUGACAGUUUCUUGUUACUUUAAGACAUGAAGGUCAGUCAGUCAGAUAAUUUCAUGAAAGUUUCCUCAAAAAGCUCCAAACACAGUGGAGAAACUGGUUCUGAUGAGGAGAACAGAUUAGAUCCACAUCAGUGCAAGCAACAAAUUACAGAGAGAAUAAGACUUUAAUGGUGGAACGGCUGCAAAAAAACCAAGAAGAAGAAGAGAACUGCUCGGACCCGGAGGUAGUUGAAGUGGAUUUUAGACCAGCUGAAAUCUGAAUGCAGAGAAUGGACUGUGAUGCUGUUGGAGAUUUACUUAAAGUUCAAGUCUUUCUCUAUGUGAGCCAUCGUGAUCUUCAGUGCAUCGAUGUCUUUACACUCCACAACAUCUGGAAUCUUCAGCAGGAUCCGGUUCCACUGUUGGACUCCAGGAGCCUGAUGGAACAUAAUAAACACACACAGGUUGGCCAUGAUGCGGUGAAGAUGUUCUGCAUCCUCUUGGACCGUUUGCUCCACGUCUGGGUUCCAACAUCUCUGCAGUUUACGUCGACUGCUCUGGAGGAGAUGCUUCAGAUGCAGCUGAAGGUUUUGGUCCAGAUCUGCAGGAGGCUUCGGGAAAAUCUGGGACAAGAAUCUUCGUACGAGGUGAACAACACGUUGUUGCAUAUCGUGUCGACCUGAGCAGCAAGAUCCGUCCUCAGGGGUGGUGGCAUCAGAAUACUUCCCGAGAAGCUCAAAUAGCUCCUGAAGAAAGACGUCUUUCUCCUGCUGCAGGUGUUCUUCCUCCUCAGUGUUGACGGUGUUCUGAACCAAGGGCUCGGCUACAGUGUAUCCUGUAAAAGAUAUGAAAAGGGAUUAUUCAUGGACACCGAAUCCCUUUUUAGGGGGUCGUGUCUCAUUUUUUGAUUGGUCUUGUCCACAUCACAGAGCAGUUACAAUAAUCACUUUUGGAAUAAACCAAACACAGAAACUUUAAAAGCUUAACUGGAGUCCAAGCUCUUAGUGAGUCCAUUUCAUUUAGUGCUAAUGUUACACUUGGGUUUGUAAUUGCUGCUUUCUGUCAUUUUCCAACACGGUUUUCCAACGUUUUCACUCACUGUUUACUUUAGUUUUCGAAACCGAAAGUCUGACAUGGUUAGUUCAAGGGCCGUCAACAAUUCUUUCCAUUUUUACAGCUCUUGGUUCUGAUAAAUGGUGUAAGUUUGGCAGUUGUUUUGAUUUAUUAACUUCUUUAAAGGUGCCUUUAAAAAAUCUGCCGGUGGGUUUUGGAGGCGCGGCAGGAUUACUGCACAGGAAACAAAGGAAUUUCUACUCCUGUUGUUCUUGAACUACAGUUCUUAUCACGGUUUAGUGACUUCUUAUCAAAUAUUUUUCCCAGAAGUUUGACUAAGGUAGGAAUGGGCCGAGCUUGGAAAAAAUGACGUAACAUUUUCGAUGGAUGAUUAUGAAACUGUUCAGCGUGCAGACAUUGGCUUCAGCUGAAUACUGGUUUGGAGGAUAUGUGUAGCUUCCAGACAAUGACUUCUAGUGACUUUGUUGGCACCAUGAUGUUUUGUUUAACCACAAGGCAUUCACUGAUCUACUUCUUAGCUUUUCCAUUCAUCAUAAGAAAGUGGAAGAACCGAUUCGUUUACUACAAUAAAAAUUGGAGCCGAUGAUAACACGACUGGCAUCACAGAAGAAACUGUAUCGGCUGUUUUCUUUACGCUCACACGUCCAACACAACAAUACACCGCCCACUACAGUUACAUAUCAAUCCAGGGAUGGGUGAUAAUGCGCAGCACGCCUCAUUAAAGUAAGGCUCGCUCCAGUCUAGUGAUUAGUGGGUUGAAUUAUGACAUCGCUUUGAUUUGGUUUUAUCUUUUCUAUGUACACUACCGUUC
ensembl:lncRNA